rnacentral:rRNA from 1 species
UCAGGAUGAACGCUGGCGGCGUGCUUAACACAUGCAAGUCGAACGAUGAUCCGGUGCUUGCACCGGGGAUUAGUGGCGAACGGGUGAGUAACACGUGAGUAACCUGCCCUUAACUCUGGGAUAAGCCUGGGAAACUGGGUCUAAUACCGGAUAUGACUGAUCAUCGCAUGGUGGUUGGUGGAAAGCUUUUUGUGGUUUUGGAUGGACUCGCGGCCUAUCAGCUUGUUGGUGAGGUAAUGGCUUACCAAGGCGACGACGGGUAGCCGGCCUGAGAGGGUGACCGGCCACACUGGGACUGAGACACGGCCCAGACUCNUANGGGAGGCAGCAGUGGGGAAUAUUGCACAAUGGGCGAAAGCCUGAUGCAGCGACGCCGCGUGAGGGAUGACGGCCUUCGGGUUGUAAACCUCUUUCAGUAGGGAAGAAGCGAAAGUGAC